UGGGGAAUAUUGCACAAUGGGCGCAAGCCUGAUGCAGCAACGCCGCGUGAGGGAUGACGGCCUUCGGGUUGUAAACCUCUUUUAGCAGGGAAGAAGCGAAAGUGACGGUACCUGCAGAAAAAAGCACCGGCUAACUACGUGCCAGCAGCCGCGGUAAUACGUAGGGUGCAAGCGUUGUCCGGAAUUAUUGGGCGUAAAGAGCUCGUAGGCGGUCUGUCGCGUCUGCUGUGAAAUCCCGAGGCUCAACCUCGGGCCUGCAGUGGGUACGGGCAGACUAGAGUGCGGUAGGGGAGAAUGGAACUCCUGGUGUAGCGGNUGAAUGCGCAGAUAUCAGGAAGAACACCGAUGGCGAAGGCAGUUCUCUGGGCCGUAACUGACGCUGAGGAGCGAAAGCGUGGGGAGCGAACAGGAUUAGAUACCCUGGUAGUCCACGCCGUAAACGUUGGGCGCUAGAUGUGGGGACCACUCCACGGUUUCCGUGUCGCAGCUAACGCAUUAAAGCGCCCCGCCUGGGGGAGUACGGCCGCAAGGCUAAAACUCAAAGGAAUUGACGGGGUCAUAGCUGUUUCCUG
rnacentral:rRNA from 1 species